rnacentral:rRNA from 1 species
GAUGAACGCUGGCGGCGUGCCUAAUACAUGCAAGUCGAGCGAACAGACGAGGAGCUUGCUCCUCUGACGUUAGCGGCUGACGGGUGAGUAACACGUGGAUAACCUACCUAUAAGACUGGGAUAACUUCGGGAAACCGGAGCUAAUACCGGAUAAUAUAUUGAACCGCAUGGUUCAAUAGUUAAAGACGGUUUUGCUGUCACUUAUAGAUGGAUCCGCGCCGCAUUAGCUAGUUGGUAAGGUAACGGCUUACCAAGGCAACGAUGCGUAGCCGACCUGAGAGGGUGAUCGGCCACACUGGAACUGAGACACGGUCCAGACUCCUACGGGAGGCAGCAGUAGGGAAUCUUCCGCAAUGGGCGAAAGCUUGACGGAGCAACGCCGCGUGAGUGAUGAAGGUCUUCGGAUCGUAAAACUCUGUUAUUAGGGAAGAACAAAUGUGUAAGUAACUAUGCACGUCUUGACGGUACCUAAUCAGAAAGCCCCGGCUAACUACGUG